GGAAUAUUGGACAAUGGGCGAAAGCCUGAUCCAGCAAUGCCGCGUGAGUGAUGAAGGCCCUCGGGUCGUAAAGCUCUUUUACCCGGGAUGAUAAUGACAGUACCGGGAGAAUAAGCUCCGGCUAACUCCGUGCCAGCAGCCGCGGUAAUACGGAGGGAGCUAGCGUUGUUCGGAAUUACUGGGCGUAAAGCGCGCGUAGGCGGCUUUUCAAGUCAGGGGUGAAAUCCCGGGGCUCAACCUCGGAACUGCCUUUGAAACUGGAGAGCUAGAAUCUUGGAGAGGCGAGUGGAAUUCCGAGUGUAGAGGUGAAAUUCGUAGAUAUUCGGAAGAACACCAGUGGCGAAGGCGACUCGCUGGACAAGUAUUGACGCUGAGGUGCGAAAGCGUGGGGAGCAAAC
rnacentral:rRNA from 1 species